AUGUCUAAUGAUGAUGGGAUCCCGGAGUGCGGGUACUUCUAUGAUGACCGGGGUUUGUGCGAUAGGUUUCCUCAGCUACAAAAUGAUAGGUUUUUCACCGUGAAGCUGGAAGUGACCUUUGAUGUUUGUACGUACAUCCCGUGCCAAGCUAGACCAUAUGUAUUGGAGAAGAUUGAUUUUGGUUUAGAUGACUUUGAGAAUGUGGAGACGAGGAGGGCUCACUUAAGAACUAAACAUGGUUAUGAGUUUUUGGUUAAGCUGUACAAUGCGGUCGAUCACUCCCAUUUCGGUUGCUCUAAUUGGGAAGCUCUCUGCAAGGCAUAUGGAUUUGAGGAGGUAAUGCGAUUCGCCUCGAAGAUUAUGAUGAUGAUGAUAAUAUCGACAUCUCGGUGGAUGUGGAUAUGCCUCCAGUUUUGCCUAGAUCUUAUUUCUUAUCUUCAAGAAAUACUCGGAAGGUAA
rnacentral:rRNA from 1 species